rnacentral:lncRNA from 1 species
CACUCAGGCCAUAGAUUAAUCACAGAGGCAUGGGAACGUACACAUCUGGGUGUGUGAACAUAGGCACAUUUGCAAGUGUUUAGGGAAGUCACAUCUGUACACCAUCAGGAGUCAGUGCCUCACUUUGAAACCACUUCAGAAAUCCAUGAGUCUCUCUCACAAGGGUGGAGGACAAGCUGGGACCCCAGGGAAUGUGAUAUAAUAAAUGACCAUCACCACAGUCUUGUCAGUAGGCUGCCAAGGAGUGCAAUAUCCUGGGAAGGACAAUCUGAAUCUCACCAGGUGAAACCUUUUUUAAAGAUGCUUCAGUAAAUUACUUCAUCCAUCCCAAAGUUCUGUCAAGGGAAAAAUCUCAGCCUUCAUUUUGCUAUCAAUCACGAAUUGCCAUACUUCAGAAAGAAACUUAAGACUCAAAGAGAUCCUGCAGGUCUUUCUUCAAUUUCCUGGAUGAAAUUGAACAAAAACAAGUUCCAGAGAGGACUCCAGUAACAUCUCCAACUUCCAGAUUGGAUUCAGUAACUGAUGACAUCUUAUUAGGUGUGAGAAUACUGUGUUUUUCCAUUCAUCAUUAUAAAUAAAGCAAUAUUUUUUACUUUCCA